CUAACGCACUAGUUCCCAUCAAUUGAGCAUUGCGUGGCACAUCCAUCACACUGUUUUACUUUUGUCCAUGACGCGCUUACCAUCAGGGUCAUGCUUCACAUGAAAAACAAGAUAGUUCCAAAGGCCAGAUCUGAAUGAGGGUGGGGGAGGUUCAAUUUCGGGUAGCGUUGAGGCAGUUGCCAUGUUGCAACGAGCUUAGCUUCUGUCUUGCUAGCUUGUGCUGCGCUCAGUGGAUCUGCACUCGACAGUGCAGCCUAGGCGGAGUAGUCGAACGCAGAUCCACUGAGCGCUCAACACAGACAGCAUCGUCAGAAGAAAAGUUGAUAAAAUAAAUAAAUUUUUUUGUUUUGUUCGAUACAUAUGCGUACCGAACCGAAAGCACUGUAUCGAACGGUUCAAUAUCGAUACGAGUAUUGUUGCACCCCUAAUAAAUAUAUGCUUCUUUUACUGACCAUUGUCGUGCUGGGCAAAUGUCACUGCAGGAGUCCUGAGCUGCAAAAUCCAAACAUGAAAAAAAUUAAUAAAAUUCAAAAGCGUGACCCCCUAAAAGAGAAAAGAAAAAAAGAAAACAGAUCAAACUGAAAAUGUUCCCUUUUUUAAAAAAAUGUUUUGUUUCGCACUUUAGAACCUCCAUACAUGAGUUUGAACAAAAUGCGAUGUCGUGCAGAGUUGGAACACGGAGCUCUUACGAGCUGCCCCAUCAGGCAUUAAUAUACUUCUUCUUGCUGUUCGGUUGGAAAGAUGUUCCAACAAAUUGUGAGAAUGACACUUGAAUAUAUUUAAACAUUGAAACUGUGAAAUUUUCUUUACCUUCAGUUUAAAAUGUACCUACACCAAAAAAAGGAAACACAGUGAGGACUGUGAAGUGUGGCAAUCAGUACAUUAAUAUGAAAUACUGGAAGAUGUAAGUACAAGAAGAAAAUGUGCCCUGCAAGUAUGAGUACACGGUUGUGUAAACACAAAUCACAGAACUGUUUCCCGUAGCCUGCAGGCAGAGCUGCUCUGUGUGCCACUCCCAAGAGCAUGGGAGGAGGCUGCUGAAGGAGGGGACUGACUGCAGAGUGUCAAGCCCACACAGGUGAACUCCCGCUGGGGUGGAAUGCAACGGGCGGGAGGGGGGGCUGACGCACAGAGGUGUGGACCUUUUAACUUAACAGGGUGGGGAAG
ensembl:lncRNA